rnacentral:rRNA from 1 species
GGGCUUGACAUCCCACGAACCUGAAAGGGAAGGGAUCCCGCAAGGGAAGCCGGCACAGGUGGUGCAUGGCUGUCGUCAGCUCGUGUCGUGAGAUGUUGGGUUAAGUCCCGCAACGAGCGCAACCCUCACCCUCUGUUACCAGCGGGUUAUGCCGGGCACUCUGAGGGAACUGCCCCGGUCAACGGGGAGGAAGGCGGGGACGACGUCAAGUCAUCAUGCCCCUUACGUCCUGGGCUACACACGUGCUACAAUGGCCGGUACAGAGGGCUGCAAACCCGCGAGGGGGAGCUAAUCCCACAAAGCCGGCCUAAGUUCAGAUUGCAGGCUGCAAUUCGCCUGCAUGAAGGAGGAAUCGCUAGUAAUCGCGCAUCAGCACGGCGCGGUGAAUACGUUCCCGGGCCUUGUACACACCGCCCGUCACACCACGAAAGUCGGCUGUACUCGAAGUCGCUGAG